rnacentral:ncRNA from 1 species
UGCAGUUAUGCGGCGAUUGUUCAGAGACACUGGCGGGGGCCCCGGGAAGAGUUAUCUUUUCUUUUUAACAGCCUGCCGACCCUAAAAUCGGUUCAACCGGAGAUAGGGUCUCACAGCUGGCAGAGCACCGCACGUCCUGUGGUGUCCGGUGCACCCUCGGCGGUCCUUGAAAAUCUGGAGGAGCAAGU